rnacentral:rRNA from 1 species
AGAGUUUGAUCAUGGCUCAGAUUGAACGCUGGCGGCAGGCCUAACACAUGCAAGUCGAGCGGAUGAUGGGAGCUUGCUCCUGGAUUCAGCGGCGGACGGGUGAGUAAUGCCUAGGAAUCUGCCUGGUAGUGGGGGAUAACGUUCGGAAACGGACGCUAAUACCGCAUACGUCCUACGGGAGAAAGCAGGGGACCUUCGGGCCUUGCGCUAUCAGAUGAGCCUAGGUCGGAUUAGCUAGUUGGUGGGGUAAAGGCUCACCAAGGCGACGAUCCGUAACUGGUCUGAGAGGAUGAUCAGUCACACUGGAACUGAGACACGGUCCAGACUCCUACGGGAGGCAGCAGUGGGNAUUGGACAAUGGGCGAAAGCCUGAUCCAGCCAUGCCGCGUGUGUGAAGAAGGUCUUCGGAUUGUAAAGCACUUUAAGUUGGGAGGAAGGGCAGUAAGCUAAUACCUUGCUGUUUUGACGUUACCGACAGAAUAAGCACCGGCUAACUCUGUGCCAGCAGCCGCGGUAAUACAGAGGGUGCAAGCGUUAAUCGGAAUUACUGGGCGUAAAGCGCGCGUAGGUGGUUUGUUAAGUUGGAUGUGAAAGCCCCGGGCUCAACCUGGGAACUGCAUCCAAAACUGGCAAGCUAGAGUACGGUAGAGGGUGGUGGAAUUUCCUGUGUAGCGGUGAAAUGCGUAGAUAUAGGAAGGAACACCAGUGGCGAAGGCGACCACCUGGACUGAUACUGACACUGAGGUGCGAAAGCGUGGGGAGCAAACAGGAUUAGAUACCCUGGUAGUCCACGCCGUAAACGAUGUCAACUAGCCGUUGGAAUCCUUGAGAUUUUAGUGGCGCAGCUAACGCAUUAAGUUGACCGCCUGGGGAGUACGGCCGCAAGGUUAAAACUCAAAUGAAUUGACGGGGGCCCGCACAAGCG